rnacentral:ncRNA from 2 species
GAAUAUUGAAAGGGGAGCUAGACUAAUCUGGCUGAGAGGGAGUUAAGGAACUCCGACCCUAGAACCUGAUCUGGGUAAUGCCAGCGUAGGAAGUAUAGAAAUAGGAAUAA